rnacentral:tRNA from 1 species
GGUCCAAUAGUGUAGAGGUUAUCACAUGGGAUUCUGAUUCCUGUUGGAUUUCCCAUGACCCAGGUUCGAGUCCUGGUUGGACCU